GAUAUCCACAACUAUGUUUUGGUCAUCCUUAUCGAUCCAAACAAGGCCUGUGACUUUCUUCCAAUUGACCUGUGCCUCGGGGAGCUAUCAUGGCGUGGUGUGUCAGAGGAGACUAUUUAUCUCGUCAGCAGCUAGGUACCUGGCGAACAGAUAGCGGAUAUUGAGUCCAAAGAGACAAGUUGAUGACUAUUCCCAAUUAAAGGGCUUCUAUGGAACAAGAACGUACGUCACAUUCUCCGAUGAGAAGCAGAAACAUGUAUGACCGUUCAGGCACGAGGCAUCCCGCCAGAGAAAUUGUCUUCAUAACGAUCUGUUUAGGGAAGAACAUUGGAAAUCGAAGGUGACUUCACGUGCUGGACGGUUUAAAUUUAAAUCAGUGUUUUCUUUCUUUUGUUUCAUUGACAUUUUUCUUUUCGUUUCUUAUCUAGAUAUCAUUUGUACUAUUUUGCUAAUUACUGUAAAUCACUUCGAUUUCGCGACCUUACUCCUUCAGACAUAUUCGUGGAUACAUGAUUUCAAGGACGCUGAUCUAGAAAUUACUUUAAUUCGCGAAUGAUGAGCUAUUAGAACUCUACAAGGUUCCUAUAUCGGUAUGGUCGCCAUCCCAUAGUGGUAUUUUCGGAUUUGAAUCCGCGAUUAACCCCCCUCGCGUAUUAACUCGAAAAUAAAUCCCACGUGAAAUAUAAGUCAUUUACAGUAAUAUGGUAGUAUUCAGCAUUUCCUAAUUGCCAAUAUAUUUUAACCUGUACUGUAUAGGGAUAAAUAUUGUUUAUUAGUAUAUAAUUUAAUUUUGCUUGUAACAAGCAUUUUCAUUGGCUCAAAAAAUUAUGUUAUCAUCUCAUAACAUAAAAAAAAUAAAAGGAACUACUUUCAGUUAUACCGGAAGUAGCGGAGUAAUCCUUGUUCACGGGAUUUUGUAUUUAUCGAUGUGUUUUUAAAUAUCUGGAGCAAAAUAAACAUGUUAAACUUAA